AUUGAACGCUGGCGGCAGGCCUAACACAUGCAAGUCGAACGGUAACAGGGAUCAGCUUGCUGAUUCGCUGACGAGUGGCGGACGGGUGAGUAAUGUCUGGGAAACUGCCUGAUGGAGGGGGAUAACUACUGGAAACGGUAGCUAAUACCGCAUAACGUCGCAAGACCAAAGAGGGGGACCUUCGGGCCUCUUGCCAUCGGAUGUGCCCAGAUGGGAUUAGCUAGUAGGUGGGGUAACGGCUCACCUAGGCGACGAUCCCUAGCUGGUCUGAGAGGAUGACCAGCCACACUGGAACUGAGACACGGUCCAGACUACUACGGGAGGCAGCAGUGGGGAAUAUUGCACAAUGGGCGCAAGCCUGAUGCAGCCAUGCCGCGUGUAUGAAGAAGGCCUUCGGGUUGUAAAGUACUUUCAGCGGGGAGGAAGGGAGUAAAGUUAAUACCUUUGCUCAUUGACGUUACCCGCAGAAGAAGCACCGGCUAACUCCGUG
rnacentral:rRNA from 1 species